GACAGAGGUGCCAAGCGUUAGGCGGAAUCACUGGGCUUAAAGCGUGUGUAGGCGGAAUGGUAAGUACCUUGUGAAAUCCCACGGCUCAACCGUGGAACUGCUUGGUAUACUGCUUUUCUUGAGCCACUUAGGGGCAACCGGAACAAACGGUGGAGCGGUGAAAUGCGUAGAUAUCGUUUGGAACGCCAAUGGUGAAAACAGGUUGCUGGGAGUGUGCUGACGCUGAGACACGAAGGCCAGGGGAGCAAACGGG
rnacentral:rRNA from 1 species